UACGGGGGGGGCAAGCGUUGUUCGGAAUUACUGGGCGUAAAGGGCUCGUAGGCGGCCAACUAAGUCAGACGUGAAAUCCCUCGGCUUAACCGGGGAACUGCGUCUGAUACUGGAUGGCUUGAGUUUGGGAGAGGGAUGCGGAAUUCCAGGUGUAGCGGUGAAAUGCGUAGAUAUCGUUUGGAACGCCAAUGGUGAAAACAGCUAGCUGGGAGUGUGCCGACGCUGAGACACGAAAGCCAGGGGAGCGAACGGG
rnacentral:rRNA from 1 species